rnacentral:rRNA from 1 species
UAGGGAAUAUUGGUCAAUGGAUGCAAGUCUGAACCAGCCAUGCCGCGUGCAGGAAGAAGGCCUUCUGGGUUGUAAACUGCUUUUGCCGGGGGAUAAAAUUCCCAUGCGUGGGACAUUGAAGGUACCCGGUGAAUAAGCCACGGCUAACUACGUGCCAGCAGCCGCGGUAAUACGUAGGUGGCAAGCGUUGUCCGGAUUUAUUGGGUUUAAAGGGUGCGUAGGCGGCCUAUUAAGUCAGUGCUGAAAUAUCCCGGCUUAACCGGGAGGGUGGCAUUGAUACUGAUGGGCUUGAGUAGAGUCGAGGUAGGCGGAAUUGACGGUGUAGCGGUGAAAUGCUUAGAUAUCGUCAAGAACACCGAUAGUGUAGACAGCUUACUAGGCUCAAACUGACGCUGAGGCACGAAAGUGUGGGGAUCAAACAGGAUUAGAUACCCUGGUAGUCCACACUGUAAACGUUGAUGACUCGCUGUUGGCGAUAUACUGUCAGCGGCUGAGAGAAAUCGUUAAGUCAUCCACCUGGGGAGUACGCCGGCAACGGUGA